GAUGAACGCUGGCGGCGUGCUUAACACAUGCAAGUCGAACGGAAAGGCCCAAGCUUGCUUGGGUACUCGAGUGGCGAACGGGUGAGUAACACGUGGGUUAUCUGCCCUGCACUUCGGGAUAAGCCUGGGAAACUGGGUCUAAUACCGGAUAGGACGAUGGUUUGGAUGCCAUUGUGGAGAGUUUUUUCGUUGUGGGAUGAGCUCGCGGCCUAUCAGCUUGUUGGUGGGGUAAUGGCCUAACAAGGCGUCGACGGGUAGCCGGCCUGAGAGGGGGGACGGCGACAAUGGAAACGGGAUACGGGACACAGUCCAGCGGGAGGCAGCAGGGGGGAGUGGUGCACAAUGGGCGCAAGCCUGAAGCAGCGACGAGGAGUGGGGGAUGACGGCCUUCGGGUUGUAAGCUCCUAUCGCUAGGGACGAAGCGUUUUUGUGACGGUACCUGGAGAAGAAGCACCGGCUAACUACGUG
rnacentral:rRNA from 1 species